rnacentral:rRNA from 1 species
AACGCGAAGAACCUUACCAGGUCUUGACAUCCUUUUGCCCGCCUUAGAGAUAAGGUUUUCCCUUCGGGGACAAAAGUGACAGGUGGUGCAUGGUUGUCGUCAGCUCGUGUCGUGAGAUGUUGGGUUAAGUCCCGCAACGAGCGCAACCCUUGAUCUUAGUUGCCAGCAUUAAGUUGGGCACUCUAAGGUGACUGCCGGUGACAAACCGGAGGAAGGUGGGGAUGACGUCAAAUCAUCAUGCCCCUUAUGACCUGGGCUACACACGUGCUACAAUGGAUGGAACAAAGGGCAGCAAGACCGCGAGGUUUAGCAAAUCCCAUAAAACCAUUCUACAGUUCGGAUUGUAGGCUGCAACUCGCCUACAUGAAGCCGGAAUCGCUAGUAAUCGCGGAUCAGCAUGCCGCGGUGAAUACGUUCCCGGGCCUUGUACACACCGUGUCGA